rnacentral:lncRNA from 9 species
GAGAAGCCAUGUGCCGUGCGUGGAGGAGCCCGGACUGAAGGCACAGCUGAGGUUUCUGUCCACACGUCAGCCACCCAGCGUUUCCACUUCCAGCCACUUGGGAUGGCGGGGGGAGGGCGCCGCAGCCCUACCCAUGGUGGCCCCACGCUGGAGGGGACCCAGGUGCCCGGAGGCAGGACAGUGGCUCCUUUGGGGGCAGGGGCCUGGGGGCGCUGAGAGGGAGGUGCUGGGGGCUUUGGGGCAUCAAGUUUGGGUCCCCCUGGGGGUUGUUUGUGGAGAGUACCACUUGUGUUAGUUUUUGUCUUUUUUUUUUUUAGGGUUUGUACCAACAGCAUAUGGAGGUUCCGGGCUAGGGGUUGAAUCAGAGCUACAGCUGCUGGUCUACACCACAGCCACAGCAACGCCAGAUCUAAGUCACAUCUGCCACCGACACCACAGCUCUUGGCAAUGCCGGAUUCUUAACCCACUGCGCGAGGCCAGGAAUCGAAGCUGCGACCUCAUGGAUGCGAGUCAGAUUCGUUUCCGCUGCAUGACAGGAACUCCGAGAGCACCAUUUUGUGGUUAGCCAUUGUCCCGUGGUUGCUUUCUCAAGGGUGCCAGGCAGCUGCGAGAAGAAAGAACAUUCUAAGCAUGGUCGUGUCGCAGUUGCCAUGGCGAACACGGGGAAAGAGGAACAAUUCAAUCCAGUGGUCCCGGCACCGGACAUGAAACCCCACCAUUCAGGCACCGGGAGCUGGCGGGCACCCAGGCUGCGGAAUCCUGGCCUCUGGCCCCAGAGGAGCCCGUCCUGGGAGCGAGGGGCCAGCACCUCCGCGUCCAGCACCUUUCAGGCACCAGACCCCCCCAGGCGAGGCGCACAGAUGCUGACAGUGAGGCUGAGGUCCAACACCCACAUGGAGGCGGUGGUGGGGAGGCGACCUUGA